rnacentral:pre_miRNA from 1 species
CUGAAAGUAUCGCUAGGCUUUAAACUGACCUUCAAAUUAAAGUCUUCUAUACUUUUAGUC